rnacentral:rRNA from 1 species
GUCGUCAGCUCGUGUCGUGAGAUGUUGGGUUAAGUCCCGCAACGAGCGCAACCCUUAUCCUUAGUAGCCAGCACGUAAUGGUGGGCACUCUGGGGAGACUGCCAGGGAUAACCUGGAGGAAGGUGGGGAUGACGUCAAAUCAUCAUGCCCCUUAUGAUUUGGGCUACACACGUGCUACAAUGGCGUAAACAAAGGGAGGCAAAGGAGCGAUCCGGAGCAAACCCCAAAAAUAACGCCUCAGUUCGGAUUGCAGGCCGCAACUCGCCUGCAUGAAGCUGGAAUCGCUAGUAAUCGCGAAUCAGAAUGUCGCGGUGAAUACGUUCCCGGGUCUUGUACACACCGCCCGUCACACCAUGGGAGUUGGUAACGCCCGAAGUCAGUGACCCAACCGAAAGGAGGGAGCUGCCGAAGGCGGGACUGAUAACUGGGGUGAAGUCGUAACAAGGUAGCCGUAUCGGAAGGUGCGGCUGGAUCACCUC